GCAGUCGACGGUAACGGAAGCAGCUUGCUGCUUCGCUGACGAGUGGCGGACGGGUGAGUAAUGUCUGGGAAACUGCCUGAUGGAGGGGGAUAACUACUGGAAACGGUAGCUAAUACCGCAUAACGUCGCAAGACCAAAGAGGGGGACCUUCGGGCCUCUUGCCAUCGGAUGUGCCCAGAUGGGAUUAGCUAGUAGGUGGGGCAACGGCUCACCUAGGCGACGAUCCCUAGCUGGUCUGAGAGGAUGACCAGCCACACUGGAACUGAGACACGGUCCAGACUCCUACGGGAGGCAGCAGUGGGGAAUAUUGCACAAUGGGCGCAAGCCUGAUGCAGCCAUGCCGCGUGUAUGAAGAAGGCCUUCGGGUUGUAAAGACNUUUUCAGCGGGGAGGAAGGGAGUAAAGUUAAUACCUUUGCUCAUUGACGUUACCCGCAGAAGAAGCACCGGCUAACUCCGUGCCAGCAGCCGCGGUAAUACGGAGGGUGCAAGCGUUAAUCGGAAUUACUGGGCGUAAAGCGCACGCAGGCGGUUUGUUAAGUCAGAUGUGAAAUCCCCGGGCUCAACCUGGGAACUGCAUCUGAUACUGGCAAGCUUGAGUCUCGUAGAGGGGGGUAGAAUUCCAGGUGUAGCGGUGAAAUGCGUAGAGAUCUGGAGGAAUACCGGUGGCGAAGGCGGCCCCCUGGACGAAGACUGACGCUC
rnacentral:rRNA from 1 species